GGCCAACAAUGAAAUAUAAGGAUGAUGUUUUUGUAUGAUAUCUUUGAUUACAGAACCAUUUUGCCUUCCUUCUGAGGCC
rfam:Zea mays cultivar B73 chromosome 10, whole genome shotgun sequence.